rnacentral:rRNA from 1 species
AGCUAGAGUAGGUGAGAGGGAAGUAGAAUUCCAGGUGUAGCGGUGAAAUGCGUAGAGAUCUGGAGGAAUACCGAUGGCGAAGGCAGCUUCCUGGCAUCAUACUGACACUGAGGCUCGAAAGCGUGGGUAGCAAACAGGAUUAGAUACCCUGGUAGUCCACGCCGUAAACGAUGUCUACUAGUCGUUGGGGAACNUGAUUCNUUAGUGACGCAGNUAACGCAAUAAGUAGACCGCNUGGGGAGUACGGCCGCAAGGUUAAAACUCAAAUGAAUUGNCGGGGGCCCGCACCAGCGGUGGAGCAUGUGGUUUANUUNGAUGCAACGCGAAGAACCUUACCUGGUCNUGACAUAUCUAGAAUCCUGCAGAGAUGCGGGAGUGCCUUCGGGAAUUAGAAUACAGGUGCUGCAUGGCUGUCGUCAGCUNGUGUNGUGAGAUGUUGGGUUAAGUCCCGCAACGAGCGCAACCCUUGUCCUUAGUUACCAGCGGGUUAAGCCGGGAACUCUAAGGAUACUGCCAGUGACAAACUGGAGGAAGGCGGGGACGACGUCAAGUCAUCAUGGCCCUUACGACCAGGGCUACACACGUGCUACAAUGGUAGGUACAGAGGGCAGCUACACAGCGAUGUGAUGCGAAUCUCAAAAAGCCUAUCGUAGUCCAGAUUGGAGUCUGCAACUCGACUCCNUGAAGUAGGAAUCGCUAGUAAUCGCGGAUCAGAAUGCCGCGGUGAAUACGUUCCCGGGCCUUGUACACACCNCCCGUCACACCAUGGGAGUUGAUUGCACCAGAAGUGGUUAGCNGAACCUUUUAGGACGGC